rnacentral:lncRNA from 1 species
AAUGCAAUCAAUUUUCUUAAAUUUCUUCAAUACAAUCAAUUUCCUUAAAUUCUUCCAACUUGUCCACAUAUUUCUCCUUCAUAACUGAACAUUAAAUUUUAUUUUUAGAAAUCUGCCAAAAAUGGAGAAAAAAUGUUUUCUUAAGAUUUGAAUAAGCAGUAGAAGAUUUCAAUUCAUACAAUUGAUAACAGGUAAAUCUCUAUUCAAAAAUAUGUAAAAGAAAAUUCAUGAAAUACUUUUUUUCUGAAAAAUAUGUUUUUGAAUUCAUUCUCGAAUUUGUAUAUGUUUUCUGAAUUCGAAUAACUAUUACGAUUAUGAAUUUGUUCUGAUUAUUGGAUUUUUAUAUUUUUGAUUACUAAGUGUAUAAUAAAAUUAAUUUGUGUUUUUCCUCACAAAUCAUUAAAUGUUUGAAAAUCUUAUUGAAGUAGAUGUUGAUGAUACAAAUGACCAAAUUGAUGCAGGUCCUAUUGAACAAAUUGAAGUAAUUGCUAUGAAUGAGUAAUUUCAAGCAAAUUUUUCUGGACCAAAUCAUAAUAAAGUUUUGAUUGAUCAGGUGUAUACGAAGAAAACUAUUUUGAAGCCGGUAAUGACGUCGUACUCAAUCAGACACAAAUUUCAAUUCAAUACGAUAAAGUCAAAUGUAAACCGAUAAGUAAAAUGUAUUUAAAAUUGUGUAGGUCAGCGUAUUUGUAUGAGCAUGUAAUUUUGUACACGUUUGUAUACUUGUACAAGUAUAUGUAUGUUUGUAUAUUUGUAUAUGUAAGUAUAUUUGUAUAAGUUUUCUUAAUGUUUGGACAUUUGUAUAUGUAAUUGUAUUUGUAUAAGUAUAUGAUUUGAAAGUAUUAAAUGCAUACGUUUUUGUGUACUUUGAUAUUUUAUUUUUCUGUUAUACGUAUUUACAAUUUAUUUAUACAAAUAUUUGUUAUUCAUUAUAAAAAGUUCCAUUCACUGGUUGAUACAUAUUACAUGGUAAUAUUAAGUGUUUAGUUAAUUUGUAUAUAAGUUGAAAUGUAUUUUUCUUAUAUUUAUAUUAUUGUAUGUUAAUAUAAGA